GAUGAACGCUGGCGGCGUGCUUAACACAUGCAAGUCGAGCGAACGGACGCGAAGCUUGCUUUUCUGAUGUUAGCGGCGGACGGGUGAGUAACACGUGGAUACCCUACUUAUAAGACUGGGAUAACUUCGGGAAACCGGAGCUAAUACCGGAUAAUAUUUUGAACCGCAGGGUUCAAAAGUGAAAGACGGUCUUGCUGUCACUUCUAGAUGGAUCCGCGCUGCAUUAGCUAGUUGGUAAGGUAACGGCUUACCAAGGCAACGAUGCAUAGCCGACCUGAGAGGGUGAUCGGCCACACUGGAACUGAGACACGGACCAGACUCCUACGGGAGGCAGCAGUAGGGAAUCUUCCGCAAUGGGCGAAAGCCUGACGGAGCAACGCCGCGUGAGAGAUGAAGGUCUUCGGAUCGUAAAACUCUGUUAUUAGGGAAGAACAGAUGUGGAAGGAACUGUGCACAUCUUGACGGUACCUAAUCAGAAAGCCACGGCUAACUACGUG
rnacentral:rRNA from 1 species